AGUGUUCGUCUGACUAAGAAUGACCAACCCCAAAUCAAUGGCAGGACCAAGAUGGGUUCCAAGCCGUACCGCUCACUCGUGGAAAGCCUGAUGUACCAGACGUGUGGUACAUGACCCGACAUCCCUGAGUUGCUCGUGCGUACGAUCCGUUUUCUUUGAGUCGCGUUGUUUGGGAAUGCAGCGCAAAGUAGGUGGUAAACUCCAUCAAAAGCCGAAUAUUGGUGCGAGACCGAUAGCGAACAAGUACCGUGAGGGAAAGAUGAAAGUAACUUUGAAAAGAGAGUUAAGGAGUACCUGAAACUGCUGAAAGGGAACCGAAUCGUUUACAGUGUCUAUAAUCCGC
rnacentral:ncRNA from 1 species